UAUAUAUAUAUAUAUAUAUAUAUAUAUAUAUAUAUAUAUAUAUAUAUAUAUAUAUAGUGUAACUGCCUUUAGAGUGAUAGACUGAAAGCUAACAAUGUAACACCGUGGAAGAUCAUUUUAAAAGGAGUUUGCAGUGGAGAUUCAUAUUUUGACUUGUCUCUGCUUUUCUUAUUCCUAAACUAGAUCAGUUAAUUAAAAGGGAUCAAAAAUAAUGGUACUGUGUUUACCUAUAUCCAUAAUAAUUGUACCACACACCAAAGACAUUUAAUGUAUUAUUAAUUUCCAGAAAUUGCUUUCUGCCAAUCCUGAUGACAAAGAUGUAAGCCACAAAGCAUAAUCUUACAAGAUAAUGUUGAUUUCUGCAUAGCAUCUUGCUAAAAUAAUUAGAAAAUAUCUUGGUAUCGUAUUACAGGUUUUUGUUUGUCAGUGGGUCAGUGCCACGUGAAAUAUACAGUAUAUAAGCUUGAUAUAAAUUUUCUUUAUUAUUUAAAACUGACAUAGUCAGUCCAUGAAACAUUUUUAUAAUGUGCCUCAGUUAAUAUGUGUGACAUUUCCUUCACUGAUGGAUAUUGUCAGUGUUUUUAAUGCCAAAUAAACUGUGCUACAAUAAUGACAUGUAGACAAACUUGCCAUUGCUCUACAAAGUAUUUUACCAAUCAGUUCUCUGUGAAGCCAUAUUUCAUAAUAGAACAAAAUUAUAAGACAUCAUUUUGUAUAAUUUCUAAAGAAGUAACUAUAUUGAGUGUUUAUAUUAAUACUAAUCAUGGUUUUGUUGGAUUUCCCAUCAUGGUUUGCAAUGUAUAAUACAGUAUUUACAAUAUAAAAGAAAGUAAACAGAAUAAAAUGGGAAUUCUGUUUCAUCCACAGUCUUGUCUGUUUCUCUUUCUAAUGUUUUUAAACUGAAAUAAAACAGUUACUAAUUGUACCUUUGAUUUAUUGUAGCGUCAUUAGCCAGGUGGAGUGGUUUGAUGCUCUGAAUUGCGUAGGACUCGGGUUAAAGAUUCCAGCUACUCUGAAUCUUGUGUCAUGGCCAACAGCAGCAGCUAGGAGUCAGCAGUGAAAUCAUUUCUUAUAACAGAACACUAAAGAGAUGAUUGCAAAUGAAUCAAUAAGAAAUGAAAUGUGAAGUGAGGGAGCCAACAGAAGACUAACCAA